CCCGGAGCAGGGAGCCGACACGGUGGUGUGGCUGGCCGUCUCCGAGGCCGCCGCCGCAAACGCCAGCGGACGCUUCUAUCAGGACCGGAAGAUGGUGUCCACCCACCUGCCGCUGGCCUGGACCCACAGCUCCUCUCUGGAGGAGCAGAAGUUAAUGUCACUACUGGAGGACUUGGCCAAGACGUUCCAGCCACACUGAGUCCGCAGCCAACUGGGCACAGGUACACCACCGACACUAACGCCACCAGUUCGUACUGACCGAGGCUGGGCCCAGUGGUUCCUCACCGCGCUGCCCCAGCAGAGGGAGGGGAACAGAUCUGUUUAAUGUGAAGUAUCUGGAGUGGUAACACCGUCUGUGAUCGCUGGCUUGAAGUGGAACAAAUAAGAAGACGUUUCUGUGAGUGCUAAGAUGUGUUUUGGGAAACCCAGCCUUCCGAUGACAGAUUAAAGCCGCCUCUCCUUGAGACAUUAAUGACGUUCGUAAUGCUUUUUUUUUAGCCAUUUAUAUGAUAACAACUUUUAUCAUUUAUGAGCUUAACUGUCUAAGGACUAAACAUGUCAUUGUAUGAGUGUUUGACAGUGAUGCUGCCGUUCAGAUGGAUCGCUGAUGGAGAGAACGCUCGUAAACCACACACACACACACACACACACACACACACACACAACCCAGUCUGUCUUUGUGACUUAAUUACCGUUGUCAAUCAGAUGGGAAUCUGAUGUGGCCAGAGUCACUCACACACCAGCUCUGGGUUCUAUGUCAUGCUUGUGUUUUAAUGACUUACAGAUGUGCCAGGUGAUGUGCGUUUAGUCGUGGUGUCAGUAACUUGUCUAUCUGUUGUAUUGUAGCGUAGCGUAGCGUAGUGACUGUACUGUACAGGUUGAACCCAGACUGGAGACGCAGCGUUCUCUCCCUCAGCCUUGAACACAACACAGCAGCACCACUUGACAUGUGCAGUGUAAUCUAUACAUUCAUGACUUGGUGAUAUCUGCCCAGCACCUUUACCUUCACUGACUGUGACUCUGGCUUGAGUUGAUCUUGUAAACGCAUGCUUUAAUAAAGACACUUACUGAUG